GGUUAAGCGACUAAGCGUACACGGUGGAUGCCCUGGCAGUCAGAGGCGAUGAAGGACGUGCUAAUCUGCGAUAAGCGUCGGUAAGGUGAUAUGAACCGUUAUAACCGGCGAUUUCCGAAUGGGGAAACCCAGUGUGUUUCGACACACUAUCAUUAACUGAAUCCAUAGGUUAAUGAGGCGAACCGGGGGAACUGAAACAUCUAAGUACCCCGAGGAAAAGAAAUCAACCGAGAUUCCCCCAGUAGCGGCGAGCGAACGGGGAGCAGCCCAGAGCCUGAAUCAGUGUGUGUGUUAGUGGAAGCGUCUGGAAAGGCGCGCGAUACAGGGUGACAGCCCCGUACACAAAAAUGCACAUGCUGUGAGCUCGAUGAGUAGGGCGGGACACGUGGUAUCCUGUCUGAAUAUGGGGGGACCAUCCUCCAAGGCUAAAUACUCCUGACUGACCGAUAGUGAACCAGUACCGUGAGGGAAAGGCGAAAAGAACCCCGGCGAGGGGAGUGAAAAAGAACCUGAAACCGUGUACGUACAAGCAGUGGGAGCACGCUUAGGCGUGUGACUGCGUACCUUUUGUAUAAUGGGUCAGCGACUUAUAUUCUGUAGCAAGGUUAACCGAAUAGGGGAGCCGAAGGGAAACCGAGUCUUAACUGGGCGUUAAGUUGCAGGGUAUAGACCCGAAACCCGGUGAUCUAGCCAUGGGCAGGUUGAAGGUUGGGUAACACUAACUGGAGGACCGAACCGACUAAUGUUGAAAAAUUAGCGGAUGACUUGUGGCUGGGGGUGAAAGGCCAAUCAAACCGGGAGAUAGCUGGUUCUCCCCGAAAGCUAUUUAGGUAGCGCCUCGUGAAUUCAUCUCCGGGGGUAGAGCACUGUUUCGGCAAGGGGGUCAUCCCGACUUACCAACCCGAUGCAAACUGCGAAUACCGGAGAAUGUUAUCACGGGAGACACACGGCGGGUGCUAACGUCCGUCGUGAAGAGGGAAACAACCCAGACCGCCAGCUAAGGUCCCAAAGUCAUGGUUAAGUGGGAAACGAUGUGGGAAGGCCCAGACAGCCAGGAUGUUGGCUUAGAAGCAGCCAUCAUUUAAAGAAAGCGUAAUAGCUCACUGGUCGAGUCGGCCUGCGCGGAAGAUGUAACGGGGCUAAACCAUGCACCGAAGCUGCGGCAGCGACACUAUGUGUUGUUGGGUAGGGGAGCGUUCUGUAAGCCUGUGAAGGUGUGCUGUGAGGCAUGCUGGAGGUAUCAGAAGUGCGAAUGCUGACAUAAGUAACGAUAAAGCGGGUGAAAAGCCCGCUCGCCGGAAGACCAAGGGUUCCUGUCCAACGUUAAUCGGGGCAGGGUGAGUCGACCCCUAAGGCGAGGCCGAAAGGCGUAGUCGAUGGGAAACAGGUUAAUAUUCCUGUACUUGGUGUUACUGCGAAGGGGGGACGGAGAAGGCUAUGUUGGCCGGGCGACGGUUGUCCCGGUUUAAGCGUGUAGGCUGGUUUUCCAGGCAAAUCCGGAAAAUCAAGGCUGAGGCGUGAUGACGAGGCACUACGGUGCUGAAGCAACAAAUGCCCUGCUUCCAGGAAAAGCCUCUAAGCAUCAGGUAACAUCAAAUCGUACCCCAAACCGACACAGGUGGUCAGGUAGAGAAUACCAAGGCGCUUGAGAGAACUCGGGUGAAGGAACUAGGCAAAAUGGUGCCGUAACUUCGGGAGAAGGCACGCUGAUAUGUAGGUGAAGUCCCUCGCGGAUGGAGCUGAAAUCAGUCGAAGAUACCAGCUGGCUGCAACUGUUUAUUAAAAACACAGCACUGUGCAAACACGAAAGUGGACGUAUACGGUGUGACGCCUGCCCGGUGCCGGAAGGUUAAUUGAUGGGGUCAGCGCAAGCGAAGCUCUUGAUCGAAGCCCCGGUAAACGGCGGCCGUAACUAUAACGGUCCUAAGGUAGCGAAAUUCCUUGUCGGGUAAGUUCCGACCUGCACGAAUGGCGUAAUGAUGGCCAGGCUGUCUCCACCCGAGACUCAGUGAAAUUGAACUCGCUGUGAAGAUGCAGUGUACCCGCGGCAAGACGGAAAGACCCCGUGAACCUUUACUAUAGCUUGACACUGAACAUUGAGCCUUGAUGUGUAGGAUAGGUGGGAGGCUUUGAAGUGUGGACGCCAGUCUGCAUGGAGCCGACCUUGAAAUACCACCCUUUAAUGUUUGAUGUUCUAACGUUGACCCGUAAUCCGGGUUGCGGACAGUGUCUGGUGGGUAGUUUGACUGGGGCGGUCUCCUCCUAAAGAGUAACGGAGGAGCACGAAGGUUGGCUAAUCCUGGUCGGACAUCAGGAGGUUAGUGCAAUGGCAUAAGCCAGCUUGACUGCGAGCGUGACGGCGCGAGCAGGUGCGAAAGCAGGUCAUAGUGAUCCGGUGGUUCUGAAUGGAAGGGCCAUCGCUCAACGGAUAAAAGGUACUCCGGGGAUAACAGGCUGAUACCGCCCAAGAGUUCAUAUCGACGGCGGUGUUUGGCACCUCGAUGUCGGCUCAUCACAUCCUGGGGCUGAAGUAGGUCCCAAGGGUAUGGCUGUUCGCCAUUUAAAGUGGUACGCGAGCUGGGUUUAGAACGUCGUGAGACAGUUCGGUCCCUAUCUGCCGUGGGCGCUGGAGAACUGAGGGGGGCUGCUCCUAGUACGAGAGGACCGGAGUGGACGCAUCACUGGUGUUCGGGUUGUCAUGCCAAUGGCACUGCCCGGUAGCUAAAUGCGGAAGAGAUAAGUGCUGAAAGCAUCUAAGCACGAAACUUGCCCCGAGAUGAGUUCUCCCUGACUCCUUGAGAGUCCUGAAGGAACGUUGAAGACGACGACGUUGAUAGGCCGGGUGUGUAAGCGCAGCGAUGCGUUGAGCUAACCGGUACUAAUGAACCGUGAGGCUUAACCUU
rnacentral:rRNA from 1 species